rnacentral:lncRNA from 1 species
GAGAAGGCAGCGAUUUAGGGGCCCAGAUCAGAUCCAUGAUGAGAAAACCUACAAUCUGUAUGUCACUUCUGACAAGUCUGAAGGAGAAAGACAACGACUUAUUUAUGCAAUCCCAGAUCUUUUAUUUAUGCUGGGUUUCAUAGUACUACAUGCAGAAGAGCAGGAUGGGAAAAUGGAAAAGGAUGUUACCUAAUGUUUAUAGUGUUUUGAGGACACAAUGCCAAAACCUAAAAGGGUGAGAUGUCAAGGAAGGACAACCAGAGCAAAAGAGCGGAACAAUUGACAAAAAAUUAAGAUGAAAAUUUAAACAGUAAAAUCUCUAGG